GGAAGCAUAGCUCAGUUGGUUUAGAGCGCCGCUUUGACAGAGCGGAGGUCAUGGGUUCGAAUCCCCUUGUUUCCA
rnacentral:tRNA from 1 species